UCCUACGGGAGGCAGCAGUGGGGAAUAUUGCACAAUGGGCGCAAGCCUGAUGCAGCGACGCCGCGUGAGGGAUGACGGCCUUCGGGUUGUAAACCUCUUUCAGUAGGGAACAAGGCCGCACGUUGUGUGGUUGAGGGUACUUGCAGAAGAAGCGCCGGCUAACUACGUGCCAGCAGCCGCGGUAAUACGUAGGGCGCAAGCGUUAUCCGGAAUUAUUGGGCGUAAAGAGCUCGUAGGCGGUUUGUCGCGUCUGCCGUGAAAGUCCGGGGCUCAACCCCGGAUCUGCGGUGGGUACGGGCAGACUAGAGUGAUGUAGGGGAGACUGGAAUUCCUGGUGUAGCGGUGAAAUGCGCAGAUAUCAGGAGGAACACCGAUGGCGAAGGCAGGUCUCUGGGCAUUAACUGACGCUGAGGAGCGAAAGCAUGGGGAGCGAACAGGAUUAGAUACCCUGGUAGUCCAUGCCGUAAACGUUGGGCACUAGGUGUGGGGGACAUUCCACGUUUUCCGCGCCGUAGCUAACGCAUUAAGUGCCCCGCCUGGGGAGUACGGCCGCAAGGCUAAAACUCAAAUGAAUUGACGGA
rnacentral:rRNA from 1 species